AUAUUUCGGCUUUUGUGCUUACGCCAUGUUAUAGUGUGAGUUCUACGCACGGCGUUAUACAUGAGGCCCCAGGUGUGCUGACCCCUCAAUUUCCCCAAAUGCGGGAAACUCGACUGCAUAAUUUGUGGUAGUGGGGGACUGCGUUUGCGCUCUCCCCUG